rnacentral:RNase_P_RNA from 1 species
CAAGCUGGCCGGGCGGUCGCGUCGGGCUCGGCAAGCGGGCCUGUCGAGGAAAGUCCGGACUCCUCAGGGCAGGGUGGUUGCUAACGGCAACCCGGGGUGACCCGCGGGAUAGUGCCACAGAAAACAAACCGCCCCGCGCCAGCGGGGUAAGGGUGAAACGGUGGUGUAAGAGACCACCAGCGUUCCGGGUGACCGGAGCGGCUUGGUAAACCCCACCUGGAGCAAGGCCAAAAGGCGCGCCGGCUUGGCGCGCUGCGCAGGCGGUUGAGGGUGGCCCGCCCAAUGCCUGCGGGUAGGCCGCUAGAGCCUGCCGGUGACGGCAGGCGGAGAUGGAUGGCCGCCGGCCGGGAUGCCGCGAGGCACCCGGUGCACAGGAUCCGGCUUACAGGCCAGCUCGUCCG